GUCCAUGAUAUAUAUACAAAAUAAAAAUCUGUUAUACACAAGAACUAUGAAUCCUCGGCUAACUAACACAAUCUAUUCUUCACAUAGUUCACCUAGUAGGCACUCGCUUUUAAGUACAUCUAGCAAGGCUAUAUAGCAAAUCUAUGGGGUAACACUAUAGUGUUGAAUCAUGACUGAUGAGACCACAUUGCACAAAUAUUACACCAUCUAGAUCAACUUUUCAUAGAUAUAGUCUAUAUAUUACGCGCACCAUAUAUAUCAGUGGGCGCUGCACUAUUCCACAUUUCCACUAAUCCACUACGAGUACGUCUUAUUGUUUCUAUCCGCACGUCGGGAAGGCAUGAAUAGUGUGAGUGUCCAUACCAACUCAGACUCUUCUGUUGACGUAAUUAUUACAGUACUUUGAUGCUCUCUUUGCUUCUUUCUUUCACUCAUCAUUUUGUUUUAUGAUGCUAGACACCAAAUACUAUCCGUUCGGUUAUUCGGAUCUCAGGAGGGUUUAUAAUACGUUUGCACAAUGGACGACUAUGUAUACGAAUCUGCACAACGAAUUGAGGUUUGAGGUACUACAUAGGAAGCUUAUGUUGACAGGAGAUGCUUUCAAACAAUGAUCAGAUCUUUUCUUUCAAGAGAUUAGAUAUCAAAAAGGAGUUGAAAAUGACUACCUAUAGCUAUGGUGAAUUCACAAAUACUAAAUCAAUAGUCGGCUAGCUAGCUUGCUAGGAUUUGUGUACUAACUUUCAUUCAAUACCAGCGUACUUCAAGAUUUACAUGCUGAGCUGUACACACAGACGAGGUAGGGAGGGAGGGGGAGAGAGAGAGAUGAGAGAGAGGGAGAUGAGGGGGAGAGAGAGAGAGAGAGAGAGAGAGAGAGAGAGGGAGGUGAGGGAGAGAGAGGGAGAGAGAGAGAGAGAGAUGAGGGAGAGGGAUGAGGGAGAGGGGGGGAGAGAGAGAGAGAGAUGAUGUACCUGUAUAGCCAAGCAUAAACACAGUAUAAGAUGAAGAUCAGAUGAAGAGGCUGGGAUGGAUCAGAAGGGGUUUUGCAAAGAGAGACUUGCACAGCUCUGUUGGCAGUAUGCCCACCUCCAUCUGAAAACUCCUCUAUGU
rnacentral:lncRNA from 1 species